GUGUUAGCUUCGGCAGCACAUAUACUAAAAUUGGAACCAUACGGAGGAGAUCAGCAUGGCCCCUGCACAAGGCUGACAUGCAAAUUCAUGAAGCGUUCCAUUAUAAA
rnacentral:snRNA from 1 species